GUCACAAUGCACUGUAACAGCAGGGCCAAGGUAGUAGAAGGGAGUCACAUCACAUAUAUGAUGGAUCUAAAUGUAAGCCACAAUCCCUUUCAUAGACAGGAAAGAGACAAAGAAUUCACAUCACCUUGGUGCUGGUCCCAAUGACAUGUAAAAUUGUCCAUGGUAGGCAGGCCAAGGCACCUUUGCUUAGGUAUAUGGUCCACAUAUGUCACAAUUUUAUCUGUGGUUAUGGCCUAAAAAGAAGAGUCAAAUUAUGCAGGAGCUGGGCUAACUAUUAUGUUCUAAUCACACACUUGGAAAUAUUCAGAAAUAAGUUUUAUAGCCCUACACAAGUCCUGGAUUUGUGCAUGUGAGUCAACACCUCUUGUGAGUUGGGUCAAAGCAGAGGAGUCACAGUCUCAACAAUGGGCAGGAUCCAUGGAACAAUUUCCCAAUUCCACUUGAAGAUUGUGUUCCAGUAGGAAAGUCCAGCCUCACAGUUGGGCUCAAUAUUGCAUAACCAAACCAUCCAUGGGGUUAUACCGUGUAUGAAAGGAACAAUUUCAACCUUUGAGUGUUCUUUUGUGUGAAAUUUAAUACUUUAUUUGUAGGCCAUGUUCUUGUGUGAGAAUGACAAUCAAGUUAGCUGGGUGUGUCCAUGAUUCACAAUAACAUCUGGUUGCUAUUCCCUGUUAUGACAUUGUUUGUACAACUGAGGCUUUAUAUGGUAUGCCUGAGUGUCAUAAUCCUCUAUGAACUUUAUACAAAUAGGAGACCCAUUAUUUUACUUAUGGCAAUAAGACUGGCUAUGAGAGGCUCUGUCACAGGCAGGAUAGUAACAUCUUCCGGGUGCUUGGCCCACUCAUAUGCAAUAAUUUCUUCUUAAUUCAGAACUCUGACAAAAUGGUAAUAUCAUCUUUGUGGAAUAGGUCAAAAUUUCCCUUUGUGGGCAUGGUUCAGAAAAAAGAGUACGGUCACAUAAGUGAAACUCUAAGCUCAGCAAUAUGCCAUAAUCCCACCAUUUUAAAGGCCCAGGCAGCUGAAGAAAAUCAUAUCACUUAGGUCAUGGGCUCAGAGAUAUGUCCCAAUGUCCCCAGUAGGCAGGACUCAGAGAGGAGAGUUGUAUCACUUAUGUGCUUUUUUAGGUAUAUGUCACAAUCUAACACAUGGGAAGACACCAGGUAGAACAGACACAUCACCUGGGUGCUGGGUACUGUGAUAUGUCACAAGGCUUCCUUAGGAAAACACCAAGGCAAAAGAGUUACAUCAUCUUCCAGUAGGUUUAAUUGUUAUGUCAUAAUGCUGUAUGUGGGUGAGGUCCAAGCCUCAAGUCACAUAAUCUAGGUGACAGUCACAGAGAUAUAUUACUAUGCCUUCCUUGACAUAUAGCACUGGUGAAAAAGAAUCAUCACCAAUUUACCUGGCCUAGAAAUAUGUCACUUGCACCCACUCUGUUCAGGACCCAUUCUAGAGAGGAGAGUUACAUCACCUAAUUGGUGGACAUAGUGAUAUGUCACAGUGAUGUCUGUGGCCAAGGCUCAGGCAAGAAUGUAACAUCACCUGGGUUUUUGAUCCAGUAAUAUGUCACAAUCCUUACUGAGAGAAGGGCCAAGGCAGGAGAGUCACAUCAUUUAUACGUUGGUCCAGGUAGAGAUAACUAUCCCAUAUAUGAUCUGGAACCAGUCUGGAGAGUCAAAUCACACAGAUGCUCAGCAAAUGUUUAUAUCACAAUCACACUGUCAGAAUAUUCCAGAGAUGAGAUUUACAAUACCAUACAUGUCCUGCUUUCAUGAGUGACAGUUGGCUUCAUGUAUGUGAGAUGUGACAGUCCGUACUGUCAGCUGCAUGUGCAUAUGAGACUCACAAUUUCACCAUUCUGCUGGGUUCUGUGAUAACACUCUCUGUACAAGCCAUGGGCCUUAUCUGAGCCUGUUAUAAUCUUCUGUGACCUCUUUACCAGAAAGAGAUAUAAGAAAUCACUUGUGUUUCUAAAGCAAGUUACAAGAGUGAAAAUUACUCUUAUUUGUGGUGUCCACAUAUGAGAGCUACUAUCAUGCCUCUGAACUGUGCCUAGAUAUAUGUCAAAAUUUAUUCUGUGGUAAUGAAACAGGCAUGACAGCCAUGUCACCUAAAUGCUGAGCCAGACAUUUUCCACUAUUCUCCUUCUAGACAAGUUUCUGGCAGGAAAGUCGCAUAACUGCGGGGCUGCAUGAAACUCUAUGGCACAAUGGCCCUUCUAAGCAGGGUUCAGGCAGAAGAGGAAGUCACAUCACCUAAAUGAUAGACCUUGAGUUAUGUCACAAUUUCUCCUGUUGAAAGGGCCAGAAAUGUAUCAUUUCCA
rnacentral:lncRNA from 1 species